rnacentral:rRNA from 1 species
GACGAACGCUGGCGGCGUGCUUAACACAUGCAAGUCGAACGGGAAGGCCCUGCUUUUGUGGGGUGCUCGAGUGGCGAACGGGUGAGUAACACGUGAGUAACCUGCCCUUGACUUUGGGAUAACUUCAGGAAACUGGGGCUAAUACCGGAUAGGAGCUCCUGCUGCAUGGUGGGGGUUGGAAAGUUUCGGCGGUUGGGGAUGGACUCGCGGCUUAUCAGCUUGUUGGUGGGGUAGUGGCUUACCAAGGCUUUGACGGGUAGCCGGCCUGAGAGGGUGACCGGCCACAUUGGGACUGAGAUACGGCCCAGACUCCUCCGGGAGGCAGCAGUGGGGAAUAUUGCACAAUGGGCGGAAGCCUGAUGCAGCAACGCCGCGUGCGGGAUGACGGCCUUCGGGUUGUAAACCGCUUUCGCCUGUGACGAAGCGUGAGUGGCGGUAAUGGGUAAAGAAGCACCGGCUAACUACGUG